ACUAUAUAUUCUAUUUAAUGAUGCUAUGUGAUAGUCAAGAAAGUACAAGCUAAACUGCACUUUUAGAAAUGAUUUUAAAAGUUUAACGUCUGCCAGAUGUUUAUCUUUUGAAUCAUAAACUAAGUGAUGCAGUGAUGAAUAAAGAUUUUAUAAAUCAAGCAACAAAAUUUGAAGGAUCUAAAAAUGCUUAAACAGCUUGGUUAUUGAUGGAAAUCCAGUAUAAACUAUACUGGAUAAAUGAAUCUACUAAUUUACCUUCAGCAACAUUUACUUUAAAGUCUACUUCCUCUAGUGGCGCUGACAAUAAUGUCGAUAAAGAGAUAUCUACUACUAAAUUUUGUGCCGAUGAAAAUUGUGCUGAUGCAGACUAAUCGUCAUCGACAUUUUUAAACAAACAUUGUCUGAAACUUUGUGGUUUUAUGGAUGUAUCUGACACUGAAAAUUUAUUUCAUGAGUGCAAUAUUGUCCUAAAAACUUUUAUAAGUUUUAUUUGUGUACUAAAUGGGGUUUUAUGGACCAUUUCUUGUAAGAAAUGCUUUUGACAUAAUCAAGUAGAUUUGUUGUUUUUAAA